rfam:Felis catus isolate Cinnamon breed Abyssinian chromosome D2, whole genome shotgun sequence.
GCCUGGCUGGCUCAGUCAGCAGAGCAUGUGAUUCUUGAUCUCCAGGUCGUGAGUUCAAGACCCAUAUUGGGCA